AAUAAAGACAUGAACAUGUGUAAUUGUUUGUGUGUUAUUAGUUUAAACAGACUGUGUUUGUCUGUUGUUGUGACUUAGAUGAAGAUCAGAUACAAUUUUAUGACCAAUUUAUGCAGAAAUCCAAUUCUAAAGGGUUUUCUUCUCAUCAUAUUUUAGAGUCAGUAUACUAUUAGAGGUCCAGGUACUCAUAAUAUUUAGGUCCCGGUACUCAUCAUGUUUUAGAGUCAGUAUACUAUUAGAGGUCCAGGUACUCAUAAUAUUUAGGUCCCGGUACUCAUCAUGUUUUAGAGUCAGUAUACUAUUAGAGGUCCAGGUACUCAUAAUAUUUAGGUCCCGGUACUCAUCAUGUUUUAGAGUCAAUAUUCUAUGAGAGGUCUCGGUACUCAUAAUAUUUAGGUCCCGGUACUCAUCAUGUUUUAGAGUCAAUAUUCUAAUUAGAGGUCUCGGUACUCAUUAUACUUAGGUCCCGGUACUCAUCAUGUUUUAGAGUCAAUAUUCUAUGAGAGGUCUCGGUACUCAUAAUAUUUAGGUCCCGGUACUCAUCAUGUUUUAGAGUCAAUAUUCUAUGAGAGGUCUCGGUACUCAUAAUAUUUAGGUCCCGGUACUCAUCAUGUUUUAGAGUCAGUAUACUAUUAGAGGUCCAGGUACUCAUAAUAUUUAGGUCCCGGUACUCAUCAUGUUUUAGAGUCAGUAUACUAUUAGAGGUCCAGGUACUCAUAAUAUUUAGGUCCCGGUACUCAUCAUGUUUUAGAGUCAAUAUACUAUGAGAGGUCUCGGUACUCAUAAUAUUUAGGUCCCGGUACUCAUCAUGUUUUAGAGUCAAUAUACUAUUAGAGGUCCAGGUACUCAUAAUAUUUAGGUCCCGGUACUCAUCAUGUUUUAGAGUCAAUAUACUAUUAGAGGUCCAGGUACUCAUUAUAUUUAGGUCCCGGUACUCAUCAUGUUUUAGAGUCAAUAUACUAUUAGAGGUCCAGGUACUCAUUAUAUUUAGGUCCCGGUACUCAUCAUGUUUUAGAGUCAAUAUACUAUUAGAGGUCUCGGUACUCAUUAUAUUUAGGUCCCGGUACUCAUCAUGUUUUAGAGUCAAUAUUCUAUGAGAGGUCUCGGUACUCAUUAUAUUUAGGUCCCGGUACUCAUCAUGUUUUAGAGUCAAUAUACUAUUAGAGGUCUCGGUACUCAUUAUACUUAGGUCCCGGUACUCAUCAUGUUUUAGAGUCAAUAUUCUAUUAGAGGUGCUCUUGAGCAGUAGAAAAUUCAAAGUGAACACCUGCCCACUUCACACACAGGCUAUAGUAUUGUAUGUGCAACUGUUUGUGUGCAAUGAAAAACACAGGGUGUACAUAGUUGAUAUCCUCUGCAUUGCUGACUGCCUGGUUAAAUACCAACACCAUUCCUCAUCCUAAUGACCAGACGUGAACAACUACCAAAGAUUGCUUCCAUUCUCCC